rnacentral:rRNA from 1 species
GAUGAACGCUGGCGGCGUGCCUAAUACAUGCAAGUCGAGCGAACAGACGAGGCGCUUGCUCCUCUGACGUUAGCGGCGGACGGGUGAGUAACACGUGGAUAACCUACCUAUAAGACUGGGAUAACUUCGGGAAACCGGAGCUAAUACCGGAUAAUAUAUUGCACCGCAUGGUUCAAUAGUGAAAGACGGUUUUGCUGUCACUUAUAGAUGGAUCCGCGCCGCAUUAGCUAGUUGGUAAGGUAACGGCUUACCAAGGCGACGAUGCGUAGCCGACCUGAGAGGGUGAUCGGCCACACUGGAACUGAGACACGGUCCAGACUCCUACGGGAGGCAGCAGUAGGGAAUCUUCCGCAAUGGGCGAAAGCCUGACGGAGCAACGCCGAGUGAGUGAUGAAGGUCUUCGGAUCGUAAAACUCUGUUAUUAGGGAAGAACAAAUGUGGAAGUAACUAUGCACGUCUUGACGGUACCUAAUCAGAAAGCCACGGCUAACUACGUG